UACGAAGGGGGCUAGCGUUGCUCGGAAUUACUGGGCGUCAAGCGCACGUAGGCGGCUUUCUAAGUCGGGGGUGAAAUCCUGGAGCUCAACUCCAGAACUGCCUUCGAUACUGGAAAGCUCGAGUCCGGGAGAGGUGAGUGGAACUGCGAGUGUAGAGGUGAAAUUCGUAGAUAUUCGCAAGAACACCAGUGGCGAAGGCGGCUCACUGGCCCGGUACUGACGCUGAGGUGCGAAAGCGUGGGGAGCGAACAGG
rnacentral:rRNA from 1 species